AUAACAAUUUGUGAUGCUUUAGGGAGCCUAUUGUUUGAUGGUUUAUAGGAGCCAGAUUUGUCUUUUUGACUAAUUUUCAACCUAUUCUUACUUCCAAAACUGUUGCAAUGGCUCUCGUUUUUGUUAAAAUUUUCUCUUUUCUCUUCUUUGGCAUAGUUUAUUUUUAAUAAAUUAUUUCAGGGUGAGAUAGAGAAAGAAUAAUGAGUAUCGUAGAUAAAUCUUCGGUUCCGAAUAGUGUAACUGUUGGUGCUGAGGUAAUCCAUCUUUAAAACCAUCGCCGUUAGAGGUUGCUUCUGAUAUUUUCGGUUAAGCGACCCAUGAAAUGGUGAUGACCUGAGGUAUGGAACAUCU
rnacentral:snoRNA from 2 species